rnacentral:rRNA from 1 species
ACGCUUGAAGUCAGUCGCGUUGGCUUGAAAUCAACCUUGCUUUUGCUUGGUGUAUUUUCUGGUCGACGGGUCAGCAUCAAUUUUGACCACUGGAUAAAGUCUUUGGGAAUGUAGCAUCUUCGGAUGUGUUAUAGCCCAUUGUCGUAUACGGUGGUUGGGAUUGAGGAACUCAGCACGCCGCAAGGCCGGGUUUCGACCACGUUCGUGCUUAGGAUGCUGGCAUAAUGGCUUUAAUCGACCCGUCUUGAAACACGGACCAAGGAGUC